UGCUGAAGGGCGCCCGGCCGUACCCGCUAUGCUGCAAGCGCCCCGCGGGGGAAGUCCGGUCGAAGUCCGGCGCUGACCCGCAACGGUAGGCGGAGCUCAACACGCGGCCCCGCAAGCCCGAUUACCCGCGGUGGUGAAGGCUCCUGU
rnacentral:ncRNA from 2 species